UUCCAAAAUACGAUCUCCCACAUGCAGGUUGGUGAGAUUUACAUCAAUUCUACACAGCGAACAAAAGAACAAAAUUUUCCAUGGAUUAGUCAAGAGGUUGCAGCGGGGCCCCACGUAGCACAAGUUACAAGUUAAAAUGUUUGAUGUUUUGGUUCAUUACCUAUAAGCCCCACAACACUGAUCUAUUACCGAGGUAAUAAGGGAGAAAACGUAUUUGCCAACACGUCCGUAAACCUUACAAAUGAAUCUGGAUGUUUAGUUUAGUAUUGUGUUUGCAAGAAAGCGAGGAGGAGCGUAUGCGUUCAAAAGAGAAAAAUGAUCGAGUGACUUAUUAAUGUGAAUUGUUUGGUAUUAGUAAUGCGGCAGCUAGCUACAAAGUAUGAUGUUAUUAAAUAGAAUAAAACUCUUGCUUUGGUUAAAGUUAAAAAUACCUCCUAGUGAUCGUCAUUGAAUUAUUUAUACAUUUCGCUACAAGCGGUAUGGAAGGGUCGUCGUCGAAGUCAAAGAUAUCUUCUCUCUUACUUUGACAUAUUGAUACAAACCAACGGCGAUUUGCCACCAUUACUGCUGAUAACGGAAUGCAAAAUAAACAUACGAAGAGUAUGACCACACAAAGGUGAUAUCGGGACAAAAGGAUUUGCACAUUAAAGAUAAGCCAUGUAUGAUAAAUUAGCGAAAUUGCAAACAUUUUUCUGAUUUUCAAAUUUAUGUCGUUAACAUUUUCAAUAUUAGGAAGACGUGACUUUAUUUGAGACACAUGUAUUUCCCUAUGUGAUGCGUCACAAUUGGCACAUACAUACAUGGCUUACUCACGUUCAAGGUCAUAUUUGUUUCUACUCACUCAGAAAUCCGCACAGCUGGACACAAUUCCGACGAACUUCCUGUCAGCAGACCAGCUUUGCCGUCUAUCGUUGAGGCUGAAGGUGAAUUAUAUACUCGGGCAUACCAGCUGUCACCACUACUGAGAUGAUGUCGCUGCGUAACAUUUAUAUUGUCAACCGAUAAGCGUAGACUGGAUGUAAUGUCCUUUGGUAUUUCCACCAAACGUAUGGAAUGUGGUUUAAUGGCAUCCAAGGCGGCACCUUCACUUUUCAUAUUUUUCUUAUAGCAGCUAUCGCAAAAAAGCUUAGAGCGCUCCAGCAAAGCAAAUGCUUCGCCAUAGCCAAUGAAGGUGUGACAAAUGGAACAGCAAAAACACUCUGGAUGAAACUUAUGAUCACCAGCCACCAUAACAGGACCGGAUAUGAAAUCGGUGCACUGUUGGCAAGCCUCGCCAAAACGUUGAUAAUAAUCAUCUCGGCAGAACAGCAGACCUUCUUUCUCGAAAUACCAAUUGUGCAGAUGAUUAUCACAUACUGAACAACGAAAGCAGUCAGUAUGCCAUUCUUGGCCCAAAGCUUCUAUACUUUCCUCCUCAUCGUUGGAUGGAUUCAAUUCAUUUAAGCAGCCAGCACAAUUCGUUGUUAAACGGGGCAAACUUUGGGAAUUA